rnacentral:lncRNA from 1 species
CAGGAGGAUCGCUUGAGGCCAGGAGUUUGAGACCAGCUUGGUCAGCACAAUGAGGCCCUGUCUCUACAAAAAAAAAGUCAAAAUAUUUGCUGGUUAUGGUGGCGUGUGCCUGUAGUCCCAGCUACUUGGGAAGAUGAGGUGGGAGGAUUUCUUGAGCCAAGGUGGUCAAGGCUGCAGUGAACCAUAAUCAUGCCACUGCACUUCAGCCUGGGCAACAGAGUGAAACUCUGUCUUAAAAAAAAAAAAAUAGAGGGAGAGAGAGAGGGAAAGAGAGAGAGAGAGAGAGAGAAGAUUCUAUGAAAUUUAGAGAAUUUCAUUUUCAACAAUCUAAAACAAAAUAGUGAAAUCAUGUGGCAGAAAUUCUUACCCAUUGCAGGUGUUGCCAGAGUCUGGCGUCCCACUAGCUGAGCAGGGCCAAGGCCAUCCAGGAAAUCACUGAACUGGCUAUCAGAGGCCAAGCGAACACCAGGGAAAAUCAGACUGAAAGCAAAAUAACAUAUGAGAUUAAAUCCCCAACCCCUAUUUAUUUUCAGGUAAGCUUGGUUUCAUUCUAGCCUCAUUAUUGUGGCAAGACUAGUCCUAUUAUUUUGUCACUUAUAUUUACUGGAUCCAAAUACCCAGUUCCACCUCCCAGGACUCUUCCUUCAUAUUCUCAGCAGCCCAAGUAUGACACCAGAAGCACCUGUCACACUGCACUGCAGGCUUCUGCUGGUGAGUCUUUCUCUUCCUUGGUCUCAAAGGCAGACUGUGAUUUCUAUGAGUAACACUCAGCACAUAUUGAGCACUUACUCCAUCCAGGCUUUAUCAUAUUUAAUCCUCUUAGCUGCACUAUGAUAGAUUCUAUUAUUUCUCCUAUUUCAUACACGAAGAAAUGUUUCUGGAUCAUUCCCAUCUGCAUACAAAUAUGCUGUUAUUUCUUCCACCAUAUAAAAAAAUCCCUUUCCUGACCCCAUUUCCCUCUCCAGUUACUACCCCAUUUCUCUCCUUGAAAUAAUUGUCUCUAUGUGCUGUCUUCAAUUUCUUUCCUCUCAUUCUCUCUUGAAAGUCUAAUCAUGUUUUCAUUGUUGCCACUCCACUAAAAUUAUCUGAUCAUUUGACACAAUUUCCCUUGCCCCCUCUUCCUUGAAGCACUGUCUCCCACUGCUUUCUGCACACUCCAGUCUCCUGGUUUCCCACUUUUCCUUCUGCCACUCAGCCUUAACCUCCUCUGCUAGUUCUGACACUAAACACUGGAGCUCGAUCCUUUGACCUUUUAUCUUUUUUCUAUGUCUGAAUUCCCUUGAUAAUCUCAUCCAGUCUCAUGGUUUUAAAUGCCAUCUAUGCUGCUAUUGCCUAGAUUGGCAUCUCCAGCUUGGAUCUCUCCCUUGGGCCACAGACCUAUGUUCCAAUUGCUUAGUCUACAUAUCUGCUUGGAUAUGUAAUAGACACCUGAAACUCAAAUUGUCUAAAACUGACUCUCUCCAUGCUCCUGUCCCCCGACUGCAAACACACAAACAAAAAAUCCAAACUCUGGUCCUGUCAAAAGAUUUCCAUCUUGAUAAAUGGUAAUCUCAUUCUUCAUUCUUCCAACUGGUCAACCUUGGAGCCAUCUUUCUUCCUUCCUCUCUGUUAUGGACUGAAUCGUGUCACCCCAAAAUUCUUAUGUUGAAGCCCUAAAGUUCAAUAUGUCUGUAUUUGGCCAUAGGCCCUUUAAAGAGAGAAGGUUAAAUGAGGCCAUUUGCGUGGUGCCCUAAUCCAAUAUGACCCAUGUCCUUAUAAGAAGAGGAAGAGACACCAGGAGUAGAUAAGCACAGAGAAAAUGCUGUGAGAAGACAUCACAAGAAGGUGGCCAUCUGCAAGCCAAGGAGAAGAGCCUCAGGAGAACUCAAACCUGCAGACACCUUGAUCUUGGACUUCUAGCCUACUGAUCUGUGAGAAAAUAGAUUCCUGCUUUUUAAGCCACCCAGCCUGUGGUAUUUUAUUAUGGUAGCCCUGGCAAACAAAUAUACUCUCUUUUCUCUCAUUACCCACAUCAAAUGCAUCAAUAAAUCUUACUUGCUCUACUGUCAAAAUACAUUCAGAAUCUGACCUCACUAAUGCUACACUCUGGUCCAAGCCACCAUUCCCUAGCUUCUGUAUUCCUGUAGCAGCCUUGUGAAUGCUCUCCCUGUUGCUGCCCUUGCUGUCCUGGCCCCUUGCCCCCUCAGCACUCAGACUGAUAUGCCAAAAACGGAAGUCAGAUCCUGUCACUCCUCUGCUCAAAACCAUCCAACAUCUUCUCAUCCCACUCAGUAAAAGCAAAGUCCUUACAAUACAUAAAGUCUACAUAAGCUGCCCCCGCCCCUGCCACAUGCCCUAAUUCCUCAUCCUUUACUGCUCUCACCCUUCCUCCCCAGUGCUGCCCUCCUCACUGCUGACACCAGGCCAGCUCCUGCUUCAGGGCCUCUGAAGCAAUCUUCAUUCUAGAAUGUUCUUCCUUCAGAUAUCCCUCUGCUCACUAAAUUCCUUCAGAUCUUCACUCGAAUAUUUCCUUUCCCCGUCUAUCCUGUGGCAAAUCUUACCUCCACCGUCUUGAUCAUCUCUCUUCCUUGCUGUAUUUUUCUCCUUAGCAUGUGUGCUAUCUAAUCUACUAUAAAUUUUACUAGUUUUUCUUUUAUAUACAUUUUAACAAUUUUUCUUAUUGUUUGUCUUCUCUAUGAGAGUGUAAAUGUGAUGAGAGUAUUUUAUUUUUGGGGAGAUGGGGUCUGCUUUGUUCACUGCUGUAUCUCUAGCAUCUAGAACCAUGCCUGAAAUAUUGUAUGUUCUAUAGAAGUAAAGGAAAGGAAAGGAAACAAAAGAAAAGAAAACAAACAAAAAAAAUAAAAAGGAAAGAAAGAAAAGAAAAGACCCAGAUGAGAGAACCAGACCUAUAUGACUGCAAAGCCCAUAAUCUUAGCCAUGGAGAUUUACUCCCUCCCUCCUAUGACUUACAUCCCCAACGUACAGCACAGUGACUGGCCCACUGGAAGUAAAAGAACCAGGCCUUCACACAAUUUACAAAGAAACAGAUGAUCUGUACUUGAUCAUGCAUCAGUCCACUGAUACCUGUGCCUGUUUCUGUCUCAAGAAUGGAUGUGAAAUAUCACCAACCUCUUCGUAACUCUCAAGUUAGAUAUUUUGAGGCAAUAUUUUAUGGUUGGAUGAACACGCCAUUUUAGAAUCAGAUGAUAUGAGUUCAAGUUCCUAUUUGACUAUUUGCAAAUUUUGGGCAGGUAACUUAUCUUUCUGUAGGUCA